GGCGGCGUGCUUAACACAUGCAAGUCGAGCGGUAAGGCCCCUUCGGGGGUACACGAGCGGCGAACGGGUGAGUAACACGUGAGCAACCUACCCUCAACUUUGGGAUAAGCCUCGGAAACGGGGUCUAAUACCGGAUAACACUAAUCACCUCAUGGUGGUUGGUUGAAAGUUCUGGCGGUUGGGGAUGGGCUCGCGGCCUAUCAGCUUGUUGGUGGGGUAAUGGCCUACCAAGGCGUCGACGGGUAGCCGGCCUGAGAGGGCGACCGGCCACACUGGGACUGAGACACGGCCCAGACUCCUACGGGAGGCAGCAGUGGGGAAUAUUGCGCAAUGGACGAAAGUCUGACGCAGCAACGCCGCGUGAGGGAUGACGGCCUUUGGGUUGUAAACCUCUUUCAGCAGGGACGAAGCGAGAGUGACGGUACCUGCAGAAGAAGGACCGGCCAACUACGUGCCAGCAGCCGCGGUAAUACGUAGGGUCCGAGCGUUGUCCGGAAUUAUUGGGCGUAAAGGGCUCGUAGGCGGUUCGUCACGUCGGGAGUGAAAACUCGGGGCUUAACCCCGAGCCUGCUUCCGAUACGGGCAGACUAGAGGUAGGCAGGGGAGAGCGGAACUCCUGGUGUAGCGGUGGAAUGCGCAGAUAUCAGGAAGAACACCGGUGGCGAAGGCGGCUCUCUGGGCCUUACCUGACGCUGAGGAGCGAAAGCGUGGGUAGCGAACAGGAUUAGAUACCCUGGUAGUCCACGCCGUAAACGUUGGGCGCUAGGUGUGGGGGACAUUCCACGUCCUCCGUGCCGCAGCUAACGCAUUAAGCGCCCCGCCUGGGGAGUACGGCCGC
rnacentral:rRNA from 1 species